rnacentral:rRNA from 1 species
UGGGGAAUAUUGGGCAAUGGACGCAAGUCUGACCCAGCAACGCCGCGUGAAGGAAGAAGGCUUUCGGGUUGUAAACUUCUUUUGUCAGGGAAGAGCAGAAGACGGUACCUGACGAAUAAGCCACGGCUAACUACGUGCCAGCAGCCGCGGUAAUACGUAGGUGGCAAGCGUUGUCCGGAUUUACUGGGUGUAAAGGGCGUGUAGCCGGGCCGACAAGUCAGAUGUGAAAUCCGCGGGCUUAACCCGCGAACUGCAUUUGAAACUGUUGGUCUUGAGUAUCGGAGAGGUAAUCGGAAUUCCUAGUGUAGCGGUGAAAUGCGUAGAUAUUAGGAAGAACACCAGUGGCGAAGGCGGAUUACUGGACGACAACUGACGGUGAGGCGCGAAAGCGUGGGGAGCAAACAGG